rnacentral:miRNA from 1 species
GGGGAUUGCAGUCCUGCUGCGUCCCUGCUUCUUAAGAGUGCGUUUCCAGUGUCGUAGGAGAGCUUUCCUUGAAACUGGAGCCUCUGGAGUGGAAAGGGCCCGCAGCUAG